AAUAGAAGAAUGAUAAAUCAGAUUUUUCCUCCUGAUUUUUAGCUUUUUUCUCCAAAAAAAAUAUCAAAUCCAACUAAAAAUACUAAAAAUCAAGAGAAAAAAUCGGAUUUAUCAUUCUCUUAUU
rfam:Gossypium hirsutum cultivar TM-1 unplaced genomic scaffold scaffold3386.1, whole genome shotgun sequence